CCUACGGGAGGCAGCAGUAGGGAAUAUUGCACAAUGGGGGGAACCCUGAUGCAGCAACGCCGCGUGAGUGAAGAAGUAUUUCGGUAUGUAAGGCUCUAUCAGCAGGGAAGAAAAUGACGGUACCUGCCUAAGAAGCCCCGGCUAACUACGUGCCAGCAGCCGCGGUAAUACGUAGGGGGCAAGCGUUAUCCGGAUUUACUGGGGGUAAAGGGCGCGCAGGCGGCUGUGCAAGUCUGGAGUGAAAGGCGGGGGCCCAACCCCCGGACUGCUCUGGAAACUGUAAAGCUGGAGUGCAGGAGAGGUAAGGGGAAUUCCUAGUGUAGCGGUGAAAUGCGUAGAUAUUAGGAGGAACACCAGUGGCGAAGGCGGUUUACUGGACCGCAACUGACGCUGAGGCUCGAAAGCGUGGGGAGCAAAUAGGAUUAGAUACCCCUGUAGUC
rnacentral:rRNA from 1 species